AGGAUCAUUAUUGAACGAAAAGGGUGGCAAGGCUGUCGNUGGNNNGAAUGAGCAUGUGCACGUCUUUGCUGCUUAUUUCAUUCUCUUUCCUCCUGUGCACUUUUUGUAGACACUUGGGAAUGAGAGGUCGCAUUGACUGACCUCUUGGCUUUGAAAUGUCUGGGUGUCUAUGCAUUUUUAUAUACGCAGUUUGCAUAUUUAUAGAAUGAAAUUAUGGGCUAUUUUGUAAGCCUUUAAAUGAUAAAGUACAACUUUCAACAACGGAUCUCUUGGCUCUCGCAUCGAUGAAGAACGCAGCGAAAUGCGAUAAGUAAUGUGAAUUGCAGAAUUCAGUGAAUCAUCGAAUCUUUGAACGCAUCUUGCGCUCCUUGGUAUUCCGAGGAGCAUGCCUGUUUGAGUGUCAUUAAAUAUCUCAAAAGCUCCCUUAUGCCUCUCUUGUGGUGUGGGAAUUUUGGACAUUGGAAGUUGCCGGUCACUGAUGAAAGUGGUGGGCUCUUUUGAAAAGCAUUAGUUGAGGAGCUUUGUACUCUAUGGUGUGAUAGACUAUCUAUGCCAGGAGGUGCUCUACGAUCCUCUGCUGUCUAACUGUCUUUAUUGGACAACAUGAUAAACUUGACCUCAAAUCAGGUAGGACUACCCGCUGAACUUAAGCAUAUCAAUAAGCGGAGGA
rnacentral:rRNA from 1 species